AUAAACUGAGAGUAAAUCCCUGUCCAACAGGUAAAGCAGUGCAGGACUGGACUGAAGCUGUGUGUGGUGAUGGUUGUGAAAGCAUGUGAUGACAGCUGGUGGCGGCAGCUCUCAGGAAAAGCUUGCAUCAUUUAUUAUCAGCGUGUCCCAAAAUGUAAAUAACAUGCAUUGUUCUCGGUGUGGCAUCAGAAAGUAAUCAGCCCUCAUUUUAAUUCUCUUGUCAACAGAUUUCCAUUUAGCAUUGUUCUAUUAAAAACGCAGCCUAACAUUGCUUUUGAAAUAGUCUGAACAACUGCAGUAAUUAAGGUAAAAAAACAACCUAAUGAGGAUGAUUUUUGAGUUACAAUAUCUGCUAUGAUGUAGAGGUGGAAACUCCACCACAUUCUUUACAGCAAAGUUGAGGUAUAAGGUUUAGUAACACAGUAAUAUGAUGACAUCAGAAUAAAAUCCACAAAACAAACCUUUAAAUAUGAAUUAAUUUGCAGUUUUAACAAGGUGCAUGGAAACUGGUAAGGUUUUGUCAUAACAGUGACUGCAUAUAAGAAGUCAGACGUUUGUAUUUACUAGAUUCACCUAAGAAUAAGAUAUCAAAUUACUUCAUGUUGACAAGCUACUGGUAGACUGUGCAAGAUCUAGUUCACAGAUUAACCCUGAAUUAAAAUGGAUUAUAAAUCUGAAGUAGAGUGGGUUAUGUCUACAGUAGAGUGGGUUAUGUCUACAGUAGAGUGGGUUAUGUCUACAGUAGAGUGGGUUGUGUCUACAGUAGAGUGGGUUGUGUCUGCAGUAGAGUGGGUUGUGUCUACAGUAGAGUGGGUUAUGUCUGCAGUAGAGUGGGUUAUGUCUACAGUAGAGUGGGUUGUGUCUACAGUAGAGUGGGUUGUGUCUGCAGUAGAGUGGGUUGUGUCUACAGUAGAGUGGGUUAGUGGGUUAUGUCUGCAGUAGAGUGGGUUAUGUCUACAGUAGAGUGGGUUGUGUCUGCAGUAGAGUGGGUUAUGUCUACAGUAGAGUGGGUUAUGUCUGCAGUAGAGUGGGUUAUGUCUACAGUAGAGUGGGUUGUGUCUACAGUAGAGUGGGUUGUGUCUGCAGUAGAGUGGGUUGUGUCUACAGUAGAGUGGGUUAUGUCUACAGUAGAGUGGGUUAUGUCUACAGUAGAGUGGGUUAUGUCUGCAGUAGAGUGGGUUAUGUCUACAGUAGAGUGGGUUGUGUCUACAGUAGAGUGGGUUGUGUCUGCAGUAGAGUGGGUUGUGUCUACAGUAGAGUGGGUUAUGUCUGCAGUAGAGUGGGUUAUGUCUACAGUAGAGUGGGUUGUGUCUGCAGUAGAGUGGGUUGUGUCUACAGUAGAGUGGGUUAGUGGGUUAUGUCUGCAGUAGAGUGGGUUAUGUCUACAGUAGAGUGGGUUAUGUCUACAGUAGAGUGGGUUGUGUCUGCAGUAGAGUGGGUUAUGUCUACAGUAGAGUGGGUUAUGUCUGCAGUAGAGUGGGUUAUGUCUACAGUAGAGUGGGUUGUGUCUGCAGUAGAGUGGGUUGUGUCUACAGUAGAGUGGGUUAUGUCUACAGUAGAGUGGGUUGUGUCUGCAGUAGAGUGGGUUAUGUCUACAGUAGAGUGGGUUAUGUCUACAGUAGAGUGGGUUGUGUCUACAGUAGAGUGGGUUAUGUCUACAGUAGAGUGGGUUGUGUCUACAGUAGAGUGGGUUAUGUCUACAGUAGAGUGGGUUAUGUCUACAGUAUGUUCUGUUAUUUUAUCUUCCUAAAAUAAACUGAGGGAGGAGAAAGUAUUAAAAUAUGUAUUCUGCAUGGCCGCAGGUGAACUUCAGACUUCAGCUGACCUCUCAAGUGUUACAUGAACAAAUUUUGCUGUACUUCAGUCUUUAGCCCAUCAUGCUUGUA